rnacentral:rRNA from 1 species
GACGAACGCUGGCGGCGUGCCUAAUACAUGCAAGUCGAGCGCAGGAAAUCGACGGAACCCUUCGGGGGGAAGUCGAUGGAAUGAGCGGCGGACGGGUGAGUAACACGUAAAGAACCUGCCCUCAGGUCUGGGAUAACCACGAGAAAUCGGGGCUAAUACCGGAUGGGUCAUCGGACCGCAUGGUCCGAGGAUGAAAGGCGCUCCGGCGUCGCCUGGGGAUGGCUUUGCGGUGCAUUAGCUAGUUGGUGGGGUAAUGGCCCACCAAGGCGACGAUGCAUAGCCGACCUGAGAGGGUGAUCGGCCACACUGGGACUGAGACACGGCCCAGACUCCUACGGGAGGCAGCAGUAGGGAAUCUUCCACAAUGGACGAAAGUCUGAUGGAGCAACGCCGCGUGAACGAUGAAGGCCUUCGGGUCGUAAAGUUCUGUUGUAAGGGAAGAACAAGUGCCGCAGGCAAUGGCGGCACCUUGACGGUACCUUGCGAGAAAGCCACGGCUAACUACGUGCCAGCAGCCGCGGUAAUAC